rnacentral:rRNA from 1 species
AGCCAGACUCCUACGGGAGGCAGCAGUGAGGAAUAUUGGUCAAUGGGCGGAAGCCUGAACCAGCCAAGUCGCGUGAGGGACUAAGGCCCUGCGGGUCGUAAACCUCUUUUGCCGGGGAGCAGUGGUCCGGACGCGUCCGGACCGGGAGAGUACCCGGAGAAAAAGCAUCGGCUAACUCCGUGCCAGCAGCCGCGGUAAUACGGAGGAUGCGAGCGUUAUCCGGAUUUAUUGGGUUUAAAGGGUGCGUAGGCGGGCUGUUAAGUCAGCGGUAAAAGCCCGGGGCUCAACCCCUUUAAGCCGUUGAAACUGGUGAUCUUGAGUGGGCGAGAAGUAUGCGGAAUGCGUGGUGUAGCGGUGAAAUGCAUAGAUAUCACGAAGAACUCCGAUUGCGAAGGCAGCAUACCGGCUCCAUACUGACGCUGAGGCACGAAAGCGUGGGGAUCGAACAGGAUUAGAUACCCGAGUAC